AUUGAACGCUGGCGGCAGGCCUAACACAUGCAAGUCGAGCGGAUGAAGGGAGCUUGCUCCUGGAUUCAGCGGCGGACGGGUGAGUAAUGCCUAGGAAUCUGCCUGGUAGUGGGGGAUAACGUCCGGAAACGGGCGCUAAUACCGCAUACGUCCUGAGGGAGAAAGUGGGGGAUCUUCGGACCUCACGCUAUCAGAUGAGCCUAGGUCGGAUUAGCUAGCUGGUGGGGUAAAGGCCUACCAAGGCGACGAUCCGUAACUGGUCUGAGAGGAUGAUCAGUCACACUGGAACUGAGACACGGUCCAGACUCCUACGGUAGGCAGCAGUGGGGAAUAGUGGACAGUGGGCGAAAACCUGAUCCAGCCAUGCCGCGUGUGUGAAGAAGGUCUUCGGAUUGUGAAGCACUUUAUGGGGGGAGGAAGGGCAGUAAGUUAAUACCUUGCUGUUUUGACGUUACCGACAGAAUAAGCACCGGCUAACUACGUG
rnacentral:rRNA from 1 species